GAUGAAGAACGCAGCGAAAUGCGAUACGUAAUGUGAAUUGCAGAAUUCAGUGAAUCAUCGAGUCUUUGAACGCACAUUGCGCCCCCUGGUAUUCCGGGGGGCAUGCCUGUCCGAGCGUCAUUGCUGCCCUCAAGCACGGCUUGUGUGUUGGGCCCCCGUCCCCGGUUCUCCCCGGGGACGGGCCCGAAAGGCAGCGGCGGCACCGCGUCCGAUCCUCGAGCGUAUGGGGCUUUGUCACCCGCUCUGUAGGCCCGGCCGGCGCCAGCCGACACCCCAACUUUAUUUUCUAAGGUUGACCUCGGAUCAGGUAGGGAUACCCGCUGAACUUAAGCAUAUCAAUAAGCGGAGGA
rnacentral:misc_RNA from 1 species